AGUGAACGCUGGCGGUAGGCCUAACACAUGCCAGUCGAACGGCAGCACAGUAAGAGCUUGCUCUUACGGGUGGCGAGUGGCGGACGGGUGAGGAAUACAUCGGAAUCUACUUUUUCGUGGGGGAUAACGUAGGGAAACUUACGCUAAUACCGCAUACGACCUACGGGUGAAAGCAGGGGAUCUUCGGACCUUGCGCGAUUGAAUGAGCCGAUGUCGGAUUAGCUAGUUGGCGGGGUAAAGGCCCACCAAGGCGACGAUCCGUAGCUGGUCUGAGAGGAUGAUCACGCCCGGAGGAAAUGGACCACGGCCCGGACUCUGAGGGGAGGCAGAGGUGGGGAAUAUAGGAAGAGGGGGGGAAGCCUGAACCAGCCAAACCGGGGGGGUGAAGAAGGCCUGCGGGUGGGAAGGCCCUUUUGUUGGGAAAAAAAGCCGGCAGGUGAAACCCCGGCUGUUUGAAGGGAACCCAAAAAAAAGCCACGGCUAACUUUGGG
rnacentral:rRNA from 1 species